rnacentral:rRNA from 1 species
ACAGGGAUUGCCCUAGUAACGGCGAGUGAAGCGGCAACAGCUCAAAUUUGAAAUCUGGCGUCUUUGGCGUCCGAGUUGUAAUUUGCAGAGGGCGCUUUGGCAUUGGCAGCGGUCCAAGUUCCUUGGAACAGGACGUCACAGAGGGUGAGAAUCCCGUACGUGGUCGCUAGCCUUUACCGUGUAAAGCCCCUUCGACGAGUCGAGUUGUUUGGGAAUGCAGCUCUAAAUGGGAGGUAAAUUUCUUCUAAAGCUAAAUACUGGCCAGAGACCGAUAGCGCACAAGUAGAGUGAUCGAAAGAUGAAAAGCACUUUGGAAAGAGAGUUAAAAAGCACGUGAAAUUGUUGAAAGGGAAGCGCUUGCAGCCAGACUUGCCUGUAGUUGCUCAUCCGGGUUUCUACCCGGUGCACUCUUCUAUAGGCAGGCCAGCAUCAGUUUGGGCGGUUGGAUAAAGGUCUCUGUCAUGUACCUCCUUUCGGGGAGAACUUAUAGGGGAGACGACAUGCAACCAGCCUGGACUGAGGUCCGCGCAUCUGCUAGGAUGCUGGCGUAAUGGCUGUAAGCGGCCCGUCUUGAAACACGGACCAAGGAGUCUAACAUCUAUGCGAGUGUUUGGGUGUCAAGCCCGAGCGCGUAAUGAAAGUGAACGGAGGUGGGAACCUUUCGGGGUGCACCAUCGACCGAUCCUGAUGUCUUCGGAUGGAUUUGAGUAAGAGCAUAGCUGUUGGGACCCGAAAGAUGGUGAACUAUGCUUGAAUAGGGUGAAGCCAGAGGAAACUCUGGUGGAGGCUCGCAGCGGUUCUGACGUGCAAAUCGAUCGUCAAAUUUGGGCAUAGGGGCGAAAGACUAAUCGAACUAUCUAGUAGCUGGUU